rnacentral:rRNA from 1 species
GACGAACGCUGGCGGCGUGCUUAACACAUGCAAGUCGAACGAAGAGCGAUGGAAGCUUGCUUCUAUCAAUCUUAGUGGCGAACGGGUGAGUAACGCGUAAUCAACCUGCCCUUCAGAGGGGGACAACAGUUGGAAACGACUGCUAAUACCGCAUACGAUCUAAUCUCGGCAUCGAGGAUAGAUGAAAGGUGGCCUCUACAUGUAAGCUAUCACUGAAGGAGGGGAUUGCGUCUGAUUAGCUAGUUGGAGGGGUAACGGCCCACCAAGGCGAUGCUCAGUAGGCGGUCUGAGAGGAUGAACGGCCACAUUGGGACUGAGACACGGCCCAGACUCCUACGGGAGGCAGCAGUGGGGAAUCUUCCGCAAUGGACGAAAGUCUGACGGAGCAACGCCGCGUGAGCGAUGACGGCCUUCGGGUUGUAAAGCUCUGUUAAUCGGGACGAAAGGCCUUCUUGCGAAUAGUGAGAAGGAUUGACGGUACCGGAAGAGAAAGCCACGGCUAACUACGUG